CCCUUAAUUAACUCUGGGAAGAACCCAUUUCUCUAAAAUCUAAAUCCCCAAAUGCUAAUUUGGGAGACCAAAGUGCGAAUAUGCUCUUUUCUCUAUUUCUUGUGUUUACCACGAGAUAAAAUCGAGCAUCUCUCGUUUGGAGUUCCAUUGAUUUGUUGGUCUCUCUCUGUUCUUGUUUUCUGAUUAAUCCAUCUGAAGGCAACAAAAAUGGGGACGAAGAGUUAGAACGAUGCUAGUAAAUCAGUAAAAUAACCCUCAAAUCUCUAGUUUUGUCUCUCAAACACCAUAGCUAACUCCAAAUUCUAUCUCAAAAUUGUCGAGGCAGUCAUUCUUUGCAAGGUCCCGAGGUUUCGAAAAUUCAAGAAGUUAUUAUUUUCUUGAAGUUGAUCCAACAAUAUUAGUACAACAAUAAUAAAUCAAGUGAAAUCUCACAAAGUGGAUUUUGGAAAGGGUAGAUUGUAUGCAAAUCUUACCACUACCUCUCCGAGGUUUUGAAGACUUGAAGUUACAAGUCAAGAAACAAGUUUUGAAGAGUUGAUACAAAUGACAAAUUAAUUGUCUUUUUUUCAUGGAAACUUGGGAGAAAAAUUAUAUUUCUUGCUAUUUAAUGUAUAUGUAAACAUUAAAAUUAUAUUGGAUUUAAAUUCGUGAA